GGCCUCAUCGUCUAGCCUGGCCUAGGACACGAGAUUCUCAAUCUCGGAACAUGGGUUCGAAUCCCAUUGAGGUCA
rnacentral:tRNA from 6 species